ensembl:lncRNA
AUUCAGAUGCUUAAAGUGUGGUUACAGCUGUCUCAGGGAACAGGUUGACUACAGAUAUCGUCUCUCACUGAGGGUGACCCGGGACAGAUGGAUAUUUGGAGUAACAGUAUUUGGAGCCUGCUUGAACCAGUUCUUUGGCAUCCAUGCAAGUGGUUUACAGAGGUUGGUGGAGAACUUGGAUGGAGCAUCACCAAGAUCCACCUUGUUGGAGAAGGCCGUCCAGGACUGUUUCAUUGGCAGACAUUUCAUCUUUGGAAUAAAGGUAACCACAACAGAAAGUGGGCCUUGGUUCGGAGGACAUGUGGCGAAUGGCUCCAGCAGUAAAGUCCACUAUAUUGCCAGUCAGAUGAUUCUCCCCAAAGCUACGGGCCUGGAAGGCUGCACAGUGGUCAGUUAUUAUCGGCUCCUUCUUCAGAAAGCUGCAGAGUAUGAGCUGGGAUCCACUGAUCCUGGAACAACCUCCUAGACCCCCAGCACCAACCCUGCUGCUGAUUCCUCACCAUUCUCCAGCCAGCAGCAUCUUUAAUGCCUCAGGGUUUCUUUCCCUGUCACAGCAAAGUUCACAGUACCAGGACGGCAUCCUAAAUCCCACCCCUCCAUGGCAACAGUCGCCAGGACUAGUUACUUCAUCAGCCGAGCAGGAGAGAAGCUGCAGUACCCAGGACGGUGGAGAUGAGCACAGCAGGCGGACGGACAACAACAAAACACCACAUCGUGCACAGAGAGGCUGCCUGGAAUACUGUGAAGUCACAGAGGAGAGAGCGUUGUCACCUUUUCCUUCUUCCAGGAGUCCAUCAUUUGCCAAACACCCAUGCUCAUCUAUUGGGGGAGCUGUUGGAAACACGCCCACCCUGAACAUUUCAUUCAGUCCGUCCGCACCGGGCCACAACAGCUCCAAGGCAGAGGAGUUAUCUACUAAACAACUCACUGAAACAGAUCUGUUGAGCUCCUUGGCCUGGGAAGAUUUGCCUUUCUCUGAGAGUCUUACAGAGUUUUUGUGUGAGGAAAACAACAAUUUUGACAUCGUCAGUGAAACGGAGCCACGUUUAAAUGUGCAAAACCAGAAAGAAACGGCAAGAAACAACUUGGACCCGGACAAGAAAGUAUCACAUGAAUCAGCCUCUGCUUGUCAAAGGAACAUGCAGAUAACAGACACGAGAUUACUGGAUACCAUCGGUACUCCUGCGCCGCAUGAACGUGGCAGACACGAUUUAUCUGACCGGGUAUAUAAGAACCCUGCUGGAUGUGCAAACAAGAGUCAAGACAUUUGUUCUCGUGAGUGUUUUCAGGACGACGACAAAGUCAGUUUUCUGUCUUUGCAAAAUGAAGAAGAAGAGCAGCUUGAAGACGACACCUACAACUGUUCAGCAGACCUCUUCGGCAGCUCACUCAUAAUGGACAUGAACACUAACGAGCUCAACACACGUGCAGAAACUGUCAGGACGGCCACAGGGCCUCGCCCACUGCUCUCCAAACCAAUCAAACGGCCCCCGAGGAGUGGAAGGGAAGCUCAUUCAACACCACACAGAAAGAAACUGAAAAGGAAAAAAUGUCUUAACAGAGAAAGUUUAAUUCCAACAGGGACACAAGAUCUGGACUUCAUCCCUCCCUGUCAGUCCACCCCCAUUGUAAAAGUAGCUGGUGUGACCCGGUCCUCUGCCUCCUUCAGAUCACAACCUGAAGAUUCUUGUGCUUCUGACAGAAAUCAGCUUGAAUCGGACAGUAAGAAGACGGCCAGCACCACAUCUUCUCUUUGCAAGUUAAAGUGUGCCAGUGCUAAGCAGCUGUCCCAGAGUGGCAGAGAGCGGACAAAAGAAAACGUGUCGUGGAGUACGACAUCCAGCAGACACAGAUUUACCCCCAAAAGGAGGUUCUGGAAACCAGACGAGCAUAACAACCGUCUUGUGGCUCAGCAGCACCUGAGUGUCCAGAGAACUCCAAACCAAAGCAUCAAGCACAAAUGUGACUCGAGUGAUUGUGAUGCGACUGACAAUGAAGUCGUUGUUCCUCCGACUCCAGCGGCUGAAACCCGACUGAGUGUGAAGCUCAGAAGAAGACUGCAGACUGAACUCAGCAGCAGUUCUCUGGGAUAUUCUUGCAAAGGGCAGCCGGGAGAUAAAGUUAACUGUAAAAGGACUUUGUUGGAUCAAACUCUCACGUGUUCGCGGAGAGGCCUCGCACAAACCGCAAACUGUGACAAUGAGACGAUUGAUGAGGACCAAUCUGAUUGUUGCCUCCUUGAUGAUCAGAACGAGGCAUGUGAUUGGUCGAGAGAUCUGUUCUCUGACUCGGUCUGAGAGGUUCUUUUGCAGAUGGCCUUUACAAAUUGAGCCAUUUUUUAAAAUGUAUUUCAGCAUGGUACUCCAAAGAUCUAAGAAUAGAGCACAUAUAUUAAACACUAAAGACAGGAGAAGCCAUACCUGCCCCAUUUUCUGCUAUAUGCACUUUAUUUUUAAUACUUUACUCCAAAAAUGAUAAUUUGGAUAGCAAUUCCUCAGCACCCUGUGUUGCUUCACUUCUUAAAGAAAACUUUGUUUUUCUUGCGUGCAUGUUGGCCAUACCGUGUAGGAUGUGCCGCUGUGUUUUUAAAGUCUUUCUGCAGCUGCAGCUUGUCUCUGUACCCUCUUACUCAUAACCCUUUUAGUUCUCUAUUGGUUCCACGGCUAUUAAAGCAAAGUGACAGUAAAGGGAUAAUAUGUGUAUGAUUCUCUAUUUUCUUUUAGCCUUUAUUAAUAGAAAAUAGAGACGCGCUGGUACUGGAACAGAAAUUCCUGCUGGUAUUGGACCAGAGAUGUGCUAUGCACCUCAGUUACAAGUAAAAGCACUUCAUUCAAAAUCUUACUUAAGUAAAAGUAUCGAGAUGUUCUACAAAUACCAAAAGUAAAAGCGCAACCCUUCCUCGUGAUAGUAUACAGUAUAUUAUACUAUUGGAUUAUAAUUAUUGUAUAUAUUAUGUGUGCAUCACUUUAAUGUAGCAGCUGGUAAAGGUGGAGCUCAUUUUAAUUGCCUUAUAUAUGGCUGGUGUAUCUUAAUCCAUAUUAAUACAUUUUUAAAUCUAUGAUUGUAAAGCAUUACAUUCAGAAAAACAAUCCUCUGCAACGAUUAGUCUACUUCGAUUAGUCGAUCGACAGAAAAAGAAUCGCUAACUAUUGUGAUUAUCGAUUAAUUAUUGAAGUAAUUUGCUGAACUCUGUCCCCUCCCACCCCCCUCUCCCCCUGCCCCCUAAUGGACCUGGAUUGUAGAUUGUUAUUUUUAUAUAUUUAUUGUUGUGCCUUCUUUUUUGUAUACCUCUUUUAUGUGUGUAUAUGUGGGUAUGAGUAUAUAUAUGUGUGUGUGUGUGUGUAUAUAUAUUUAUUUUUUCUGGGACUGUGAGAAACGGCAUUUCGAUCUCCUUGUUUGUAUCAAACAUGGGGAAAUUGACAAUAAAAUUGACUUUGACGUUGAAAUUUUCAUGCAAACAUGGCAGAAAAUUCAGUUUUCAGUCUCUCGAAUAAUCGCUCGUUGCUUCCCUAAAGAAACGCAUGAAUAUUUAUUCGUUGAUGUAUAAUUUGUAGUACUAGUAAAUAAUAUUUUUUUUAAAUAUAU